AUGGGAUGUGGAAGUUCAAACCACUGGGCGCAUUCCCAACAUCUCCUGCGUGGACCAGAGAAAUCACCCAAGCUCUCAGCCCACAACACAGGUUAUUUGGUGACCCAAACACAGUUCAUUAAGAAUUCACUGCUCACCAGUAGCCCCUUCCUCCCAUGUCAAAUGCAAGAUGAACAAAAGAUUAAUAAGGCACAGAACAGACUCAACUACCUCAAGCCCGUGUCAGGAGAUUUUUUUUUUUUCUUAACAAAUGGAGAAUUUUACUCGGUGCCUAGUAAUUCUGGAUAUAUAGUCCUUCAUAUUUUCCAGGCAAAUUGUCAUCACCCCAGACAGGGGCAUUUAUCUGCUAGCAAAAGCAUAUCACUGUCACAUAUGUUUGAAAAUCGCCAGGCCUUUUCUAAGCUUUCACAAAAGAGCCGGGGGAAGGAGGGGGAAGAAAACUUGUUUCAGAAAAGUUUAUGAGCAGGACGAGCUCAAUUUUCACAUACAAGUAAUGCUCAAAUAUGAUUUUUAUAAAGUUCCUCCAAGAAACAAUCUUCUUUAAGGAAUAUCAAUCUAAGAGGUAAUUUUUUUUCCCCUUUUAGGAAAAAAAAAAAAAAUGUGAGUCAGAAUUAGAAUGUCUUGCCAGGCAGUAAAGGGAGCAGCUCUGGGCCGUCACCAUGGACGUGUGAUCGAAUGAUCAUAUUCUGACGCUGUGCUUUUGAUUAUCUGCGUUUUGAAGGAUAUUCUUGGCUUAUUUGUGAUCUAAUUUGGCAAGACAUUUCUAAUGACAGAACUGGCAUCUGCAGAGAAAAAGAAAGACAGAAACUUGCAUUUCUCAAUGGUUUUAGCNNNNNNNNNNNNNNNNNNNNNNNNNNNNNNNNNNNNNNNNNNNNNNNNNNNNNNNNNNNNNNNNNNNNNNNNNNNNNNNNNNNNNNNNNNNNNNNNAGCCUGCAAGCCCCUCUGUGGCCUCCCUGGACCACCCUGGAUGAGAAUGUAUGCAUUUAUGUCCCUCCACCCUCUCUUUCCUAUUCUUUAUGUUUUGGGGGUAAUGAGGUAGUACAGAGGCUCUCCACGUGUGGACUCUGAACCAGCAGCACCCAGCAUCAUCUGGGAACUUGUCAGAGAUGCAAAUUCCCAGCCCCACCCCUGCCCCCAGGCCUAGUGAAUCAGAAACUCUGAGGGUGAACUCAGCAGGGAGAAAGGGGUAAAGCGGUGAUUCCAGGUGAUUCUCACACUGCAGCAUCCAUCAGACACACCUGAAGGGUUUGCUAAGCUGCAGAGUCCUUAGCCAUCCCCUGCCUGCCCGCUCUGGAGAGCUUCUGGCAUCUAGCCUCCCUGCUCCUCCUCUGCGUCACAGCCCAGAGUGGACAUCUCGGACAUGGCUUUGGCUAUGAUGAGCCUAGAUCAUGUGUCCAUACCCAAGGUGCCAAGGAAUGAGCAGGGCAAGUACAGGAGUGGGGUUCCAGAGGGGAGAUGGACCCAUGGCUGGCCCACAGCACACACCACAGAGACUCUCCAACAGGAGAGGAGUUCGGAGGCUGGGUAACCAAACUGGUAAAUACCCACCACGAAGCGGGAUGGUGGCAAGAAGGUUCAGGAAGCAGACUCAAGGAUGCUCCUGAAAGGCCCCUUUCCCUGAGGACCCCACCCCCAACUGUGUCAAAGUGGCAAAGGCAGAGGGCCCAGUUCCUGUGAGUCUCUGCCUGGGAUGCCCAGCCACUCUCUCUCAUGGCUGAAGCCUGCGUAUCCCUCAAGAGCCGGGACAAACACGGCCCCAUAGAGUCUUUCCGAGACUCCAGACUCCUGCUUUUGCUGUCAGUGGAAACAACAUUCCCUGUGCACAGACACUGUUGCGUGUCCACCAAACCAUGAUCACUAUGCUCCUGGGCCCAGAGCCAGAAUGCCUUUUUCCAGUCCCUUUGCAUCGAAGUGGGGACAUGCUACGGUUCUGGGCUCCACUUUAGGACCUGGACCCAAGAGGGAUACCUAAUUCCCUCUCCUCUCUCCUAUGUCCACCUGCAAGGAAGUGAAGCAGCCAGCACAAAUGUGUCACUCGAUGGAAAGAGUCCAGGUGCCUGAGUCAUCACCUGGAAGAGGCCACCCAGGGGACCCAUGUCAUCUGCAGUGGACGCUGCAAGAGGAAGAAAUUAAUGUGCCCCAUGCUAGCUCACUAUGAUUUGGAAGUUGUUUAUUACAGCAGCUAGUAAUAGUUACGCACUAAUCAACCCUCCCUUCCAUUCCUGCCAAGCCGUUUGUACCUGCCUCUGCUCUCUCACUUCCCAUUUACAUUAUGGUUAGUUUUUAAAGUGCUCAUCUUCCCAUAAAAUUACAGGUUUCUUUACUCUACUGUUUUUUUUU
rnacentral:lncRNA from 1 species